rnacentral:piRNA from 1 species
AGCCGUUUCCUCUUGACUCUGGAACU